CGAGGAACAUGACCUUCGGCGGGGGAUAGCAGGCCAACGGCCGGGUAAUACCGCGUACGACCACAUGGGGACAUCCCUGAGUGGUGAAAGCAGCAAUGCGCCGAUGGAGUGCCUCGCGGCCUAUCAGCUAGUUGGUGGGGUAACGCUCACCAAGGCAACGACGGGGUANCUGGUCUGAGAGGAUGGCCAGCCACAUUGGGACUGAGACACCGGCCCAGACCUUCGUACCGGGGAGG
rnacentral:rRNA from 1 species